UGGGGAAUAUUGGACAAUGGGCGAAAGCCUGAUCCAGCCAUGCCGCGUGUGUGAAGAAGGCCUUUUGGUUGUAAAGCACUUUAAGCGAGGAGGAGGCUACUUGGAUUAAUACUCUAGGAUAGUGGACGUUACUCGCAGAAUAAGCACCGGCUAACUCUGUGCCAGCAGCCGCGGUAAUACAGAGUGUGCGAGCGUUAAUCGGAUUUACUGGGCGUAAAGCGUGCGUAGGCGGCUUUUUAAGUCGGAUGUGAAAUCCCUGAGCUUAACUUAGGAAUUGCAUUCGAUACUGGGAAGCUAGAGUAUGGGAGAGGAUGGUAGAAUUCCAGGUGUAGCGGUGAAAUGCGUAGAGAUCUGGAGGAAUACCGAUGGCGAAGGCAGCCAUCUGGCCUAAUACUGACGCUGAGGUACGAAAGCAUGGGGAGCAAACAGG
rnacentral:rRNA from 1 species